UAAAUCCUUUCUCUCAAUUCACGCUUUACUUUUUCUCCAAACCCUAAAGGAGAGCGUUCAUCCUUCUUCUGUUGGCGAUUAACAUCUCCUCUCUUCGCCGUGACAUAAAUUCGUCUUCUUGAUUAUCUCAUCAAGAUCCAAGAACUGAAGAGCGGAUCAAUCUUGUGACCUGGUGUUUUUUGGUCUGAUGAAGCUCGUGAUCUUGCCAAUGAAGUUAUGAAAGUCAUACCGUUUGAUCGUGUUCAAACCCUUGAAGUUUCGUGUGGUAUAUCAUGGACCAUGACAAAAAUAAGCCUCCAGAAUUGAGACAGCUGGACAGGUGGCCUUCAAGGAUGAAGGAGGAAUCACUAUUGUUGAUUUAAGUCGCGUCUUCAGAAGAUAUUGCAGAAGAUAUUGCUGAUGCCAUGGAUGUACCGAGUCCUUUUGGCACUGCAUUAAGUAUGGCAGCUGCCUUAAAGACAGACCAUGAAGCCAAGUGUCUAUUUAAUUUCGUUACAGGUGGUAGGGAACUGGUGCAGAUACUGCUUGCUGCUGGAGUUGAUGCUACUGUGCAAGACACCCAACAUGGGCGGAUAGGUUUGCAUAAGCUGGAUACUCCUUCCUUUUUAUUGCUUGGAUCUGAUUUCCUACCUUUGAAACUAGGAUAAGCUGGAUACUCCUUUUUUAUGGCUUGGAAAUGGACUCAUCUUUAUUUAAUCAAGUGUUGUACUAUUGAGAAGAUUAUCUUUGAAUUCCAUCUGAUGUGGCGUUAUCUGCGUUCUGGUAUAUUUCUUUCACAUUACUCAUAUGUUGUAUUUUUUACUUGAUUUUGUAGGUUAGAUCUUGGUCUCUUAAGGGAUCCCUCAACUUUAAAAAUGUGUUCGUUUAUAGUGAACUUUGGGAUGGUAUAUUUCAAGUUUUUUUAUAUAUAUAACAUAGUUUGUAAAUGAAUUUUAUUAUUUUCAACUAUGUUCUAGAAUGGGUUCUAUAUUGACAUGGUAAGUUUUUUAACUGUUAUCCAGGUACUUGCAACAUGAGAGUUAAGUAUUAUUAGGCACUGAGCUGCUGGUGUUUUAGUACAUUAAUAUUUACACAUGUAGUGUACAAAUAUAGUAUCCUAACUAACUCAUGGUCACCUGGGUCAAAGACUAAUACACCUAGAUGCCUAUUUUGGUUCGUAAGUCCUGGUGAGUUGGCUAUUGUAGUCAGUGGGUGCGGUUCAUCAGGCACCAUCUUGAGCUCGACUAAACCUUAUAAUUUAGAGAUUUGGACUUGGUUUACCUUGCUUUUCGGGCCUUCGUAAUCAGCUCAAUGUUACUGGUGGCCCUCGGUUUUAUUACGGAGGGUUGAUAAAGUGAAUUUUUUGGGUACCCAAUGAAAACCACCUCAAUGGAAUCUGCUUGCUAGAAAGGAUUCGAGUGUUUUGUUUAUAAUUGUGUUGUGAUGGGAUGCUGAGAUGUUUAACAGGGAUAGUAUCUGAAACUGAAAAUGAGUGGAGCCGACUUUGUGAUGCAGUUUUGUACAUGGAUCCCUAGGCUUGAUGAUUAUCACACAACUCACAAGGUUUGUUAUUAAAAUGAUUGUUAAGUUUACAUGUUUGGUUCAAAAGUAUUAAUACAACCCAUUCUUUUGUUCCAAAAUUAACAUGUUUCUAUAUGAAAUAAUUGCCAUUGAUGGAUUUCACCAUGUGCCAUUUUGUAUGUAGCUUUGGAGAAAGGGAAAGAGGAUACUUUAGAGGUUAAAAGUGUUAUUUUUAUACCUUUAUUUGUUGGAGUUAUUUGCUUUGUUUUGAAUUAGAUUGAAUCAAACCAAUCUUCGUAACGGCGCAAUUGAAGUUUUACCAUUCGCCCAUUGCACCAGGUUCUUUUUGAAGUUUAAGUUGUUUUAUUUUGAUUUAGUGGAAUUUAGUGUUUAGUUUAUUCUUUGAUAGGCCCUGCAAAUGGAAGAUUUAGACGAAGCGGAUCUGGCUCGAUAUAAUCGUCUCAGUUGGGUAUUUGUUAUUAUGUAUACAAGUGGCAGCAUGGGCUUAACAAAGGGGGCGAUGAUGACUCAAGGAAUGUAGUAGCAAUUGCUGCUGCUGUUUUUGACUAUUAUCCCAGGAAUUCGGACUAAUGAUGUCUACUUGGCGUAUUUGCCAUUGGCUCACAUAUUGGAAUCAGCCGCUAAAGUAACAUCAUAUACAUAUAUUCUAUAUAUAUGGUAAAUUACCCAUAUAGAAACCAGCUUAUAUUUUCCCAAGUGUAGUAAGUAUCAUUACUUUUAGCCGCAAAAUAGAAAUCAAUAUACAAUUCAUUACAGAUUAUAUCAACAAUCUCAUUUUACAUGGACGAUGAGCAGCAACAUGCUAACGUUGCACUGGCUAUGCCAUAUGUGAAAAGUGCUUAUGUUAAAAAAUAACUGAAAGAAAUUAGUUCCCAAGUUUGAAAAAA